UACGUAGGGAGCAAGCGUUGUUCGGAUUUACUGGGCGUAAAGGGCGCGUAGGCGGCCUGUCAAGUCAACUGUGAAAUCUCCGGGCUUAACUCGGAACGGCCAGUUGAUACUGUCAGGCUAGAGUGCAGAAGGGGCAAUCGGAAUUCUUGGUGUAGCGGUGAAAUGCGUAGAUAUCAAGAGGAACACCUGAGGUGAAGACGGGUUGCUGGGCUGACACUGACGCUGAGGCGCGAAAGCCAGGGGAGCAAACGGG
rnacentral:rRNA from 1 species